rnacentral:rRNA from 1 species
GAUGAACGCUGGCGGCGUGCCUAAUACAUGCAAGUCGAGCGAACAGACGAGGAGCUUGCUCCUCUGACGUUAGCGGCGGACGGGUGAGUAACACGUGGAUAACCUACCUAUAAGACUGGGAUAACUUCGGGAAACCGGAGCUAAUACCGGAUAAUAUAUUGAACCGCAUGGUUCAAUAGUUAAAGACGGUUUUGCUGUCACUUAUAGAUGGAUCCGCCCCGCAUUAGCUAGUUGGUAAGGUAACGGCUUACCAAGGCGACGAUGCGUAGCCGACCUGAGAGGGUGAUCGGCCACACUGGAACUGAGACACGGUCCAGACUCCUACGGGAGGCAGCAGUAGGGAAUCUUCCGCAAUGGGCGAGAGCCUGACGGAGCAACGCCGCGUGAGUGAUGAAGGUCUUCGGAUCGUAAAACUCUGUUAUUAGGGAAGAACAAAUGUGUAAGUAACUAUGCACGUCUUGACGGUACCUAAUCAGAAAGCCACGGCUAACUACGUG